GAUGAACGCUGGCGGCGUGCUUAACACAUGCAAGUCGAACGAAGCAUUUAGAACGGAUUACUUCGGUUUGAAGUUCUUUAUGACUGAGUGGCGGACGGGUGAGUAACGCGUGGGUAACCUGCCUUGUACUGGGGGAUAGCAGCUGGAAACGGCUGGUAAUACCGCAUAAGCGCACAAUGUUGCAUGACAUGGUGGGAAAAACUCCGGUGGUAUAAGAUGGACCCGCGUCUGAUUAGCUAGUUGGUGAGAUAACAGCCCACCAAGGCGACGAUCCGUAGCCGACCUGAGAGGGUGACCGGCCACAUGGGGACUGAGACACGGCCCAGACGCCUACGGGAGGCAGCAGUGGGGAAUAUUGCACAAUGGAGGAAACUCUGAUGCAGCGACGCCGCGUGAGUGAAGAAGUAAUUCGUUACGUAAAGCUCUAUCAGCAGGGAAGAUAGUGACGGUACCUGACUAAGAAGCUCCGGCUAAAUACGUGCCAGCAGCCGCCGUAA
rnacentral:rRNA from 1 species